GGGGACGCCAUGGUUUCGACGGGGGUUUCAAAGCGGGUGGGUGCAUGCCGGGGUCUCAGCAGCCCGUAAAACGCUGAAAACAGUUAGUCGCAAACGACGAAACUUACGCUCUAGCUGCUUAAUCGCGCUGGACUCUGCACUAUCUCUCCCAAUGGGUAGGCCAGGUAACUGGCAGCAGAGUCAUUAAGUUGGGAUCGCUUCCGGUCGGGUCACUUGAUCGGGGGUUAAAUUCAAGGUGACUCGCCCGAAACAAGCCCGCCGGUCGGCGUGUCGAGGGUUAAAUCCAAUCGGCCUGGCUAAGCAUGUAGAACCCUUCGUGGAGGGCUUUCGGACGCGGGUUCGACUCCCGCCGUCUCCACCA
rnacentral:tmRNA from 1 species